rnacentral:lncRNA from 1 species
GAACUAACAUCAGCUACCCUAGGGGCCAACUGCCCAGGAAGCCAUAUCACAAACUAUUGGCAUUUGAGAAACCCAGAGUCACUAUUCUCAAUGAAACUCAUUGCCCAGGCUGAAGAGAGGUUGAAAUCUCAACUCCAUGCCAAUUGACUCCAUUUUCAAUAUUUAACACUUUCUCAACUCCCUCAGUUGCCUCUCCUCUCUGACUGGAGUGCUGAAGACAGAACAACAAACUGCCAAAGCCUUCUUUCAUGGAGAUGGAAAUAAGAUCCUUCCAGUCAUUGCCUGUGAUUUACACCUAGCUCCUGUACACCUCUCACCUUGGAAUCCUUCCUCCUAUCUCCCCUUCAAAGGAUGCUUGUUUCAUCUCAGAGAUGCUGGUAGGUUAAUUGCUUGCUCCCCACAUGAAAACAAGCUCCAAAAAAAUGAAUAAAGGACAAGGGACUCAACUGAGUGACAGAAGACAAUACAAGAACUGAUGUCUGACAAAACUGGAAUGACACCUCUGAUAACAGACUGGCACAGUUAGCAUCUUCUUCCCAAGCACUACAAAUUACCCAACUGUGGGGGGGAUGGGCAAGGCAGAAAUAAUCACUACCUGCAAAACAAUUUCACACUAGAAUAAACAGAGAAGAGAUAAAAUAAUAAAUGUAUUU